CCGCUGGAUAAAGUGUCAUGAUCGAUCAAAUCAAGCUAGCUUUUGGUAGCUACUGAAAGUAUUUUAUGCCGUCAACUUGCAAACUAAUGCAUUGUACCAGGCCUUAAGUAUUGACAGAUUAAGCAUGGCUGCAAUUAGUUUAAUUAAUUAGGUCAUGUUCUGUUGUGCACCUGUGCCUGCUCUAUAAUGUUGUACAACUAAUCUAGCCAUCUAGGGGCACUGUUGAUGAGCGGUUAUGCGUGCUUUGGCAUUUUGCAGGGAACACAAAGCACUUUUGUUCUGACGAAUUUUGUUGCUGUCAAGGACAACAAAAGAAAGAGUAGCCAAGGAGGAAGCAUUUCAACGACCCUGAAACGUGCAGCCAGUGAUGCUGUCUCUCUGUGUGCAGGUUCUUCUAACCCCAGCUCGCCCAUGAACUGAACAAUGGAGAAGAGCAUCCAGACAAGAAAAAAAAAGUUAGUGAUAUUUCUCUUCUAUAAAAAACUGCAGUGAAAUGUCAAAUUCUUUUUUCUUUAUGUGGAAUUGUCACAAAUUUUUUUAGAAUUACACGGUAAAUGCAGACACUUACAAUGCACAUACACUCACCCCUAUGAAUACACGUACGUAAAACCUACCCUUAUGAGCACCUCCGAAUAAUUGAGCCCCCACAUCACGAGAUCCACGAAGUCAUCACAGGUGUCUCGCUGUUGACGGAGAUGUCGCCUACCACUGAAAGCAUAGCGUUAUUAAAUCGUGGAAUAAAUUCAAAAAAAUACGAGCACCCGUACCAAGUCGGGGACUUAAAUUCAGAUGAGCAGAUUCCACCACAAGAAAACCAACCAGCUGAUCUAUACUACAACUACUAAGUUUUCCUCUUGAACUGCAUGUUUCUUUUUCACCAAAUUUUCAGCCCUUUCAAGGAGGCUAGACAUGAUUUUUUUUUAGCGCAUUUUCGGCUUCGAGGUUUGCGAGAAAUAAUCUGCGGCCACAAACACCGGGAAAGAACAUUACCACGCUGCGAAGGACAGGCACAGCACAGGGGAAUGUGGGACGCUGCCCUCUGCUUGCCUCCCGGCGCCGGCGAGCGGC
rnacentral:lncRNA from 1 species